GGUAUGGCGGGGGCGGUGGCGGGGGUAAUACGGGGGGGGAAAGGGGUAAUGGGAAGUGCGGGGGGGAAGGGGAAGGCAGGGGGUUGGUGAAGUUAGAUGUGAAAGCCCCGGGCUCAACUGGGGAAUUGCAGUUAAAACUGUGCAGUGAGAGGCUGGGAGAGGGGGGUAGAAUUCCAGGUGUAGCGGUGAAAUGCGUAGAGAUCUGGAGGAAUACCGGUGGCGAAGGCGGCCCCCUGGACAAAGACUGACGCUCAGGUGCGAAAGCGUGGGGAGCAAACAGGAUUAGAUACCCCUGUAGUC
rnacentral:rRNA from 1 species